UACGUAGGAUGCAAGCGUUGUCCGGAAUUAUUGGGCGUAAGGAGCGCGCAGGCGGUAUGACAAGUCAGAUGUGAAAGAGGCCGGCUUAACCGGCAAGGGUCAUUUGAAACUGUCAGACUAGAGUGCAGCAGAGGAUAGUGGAAUUCCCGGUGUAGUGGUGAAAUGCGUAGAUAUCGGGAGGAACACCAGUGGCGAAGGCGACUAUCUGGGCUGCAACUGACGCUGAGGCGCGAAGGCUAGGGUAGCAAACAGG
rnacentral:rRNA from 1 species